rnacentral:rRNA from 1 species
AUACCGGCGGCUCGAGUGGUGGCCACUUUUAUUGGGCUUAAAGCGUUCGUAGCUGGGUUGUUAAGUCUCUUGGGAAAUCUGGCAGCUUAACUGUCAGGCGUCUAAGAGAUACUGGCAAUCUAGGAACCGGGAGAGGUGAGGGGUACUUCGGGGGUAGGAGUGAAAUCCUGUAAUCCUCGAGGGACCACCUGUGGCGAAGGCGCCUCACCAGAACGGCUUCGACAGUGAGGGACGAAAGCUGGGGGAGCAAACCGGAUUAGAUACCCGGGUAGUCCCAGCCGUAAACGAUGCGCGUUAGGUGUGUCGAUGACCACGAGUCAUCGAGGUGCCGCAGGGAAGCCGUGAAGCGAGCCACCUGGGAAGUACGGCCGCAAGGCUGAA